rnacentral:rRNA from 1 species
CACAGGGUGGGAUGCGUUUUAAAUAUUGAAUAGGCAUUAAGUGUGAUUAGGUGCCAUAGUGCUAGAGAUCAUAAGAGGAGAGUUAGAGGAAUAACCAAAGGAAAGGAUGAAUCUAUAGAGUAAUUGGGUUGGAACAUCAAAAGGCGACAGCAUCACUCUAAUUUUAUGGACUGACACUGACGUCACUAAAGUGUGGGGAGCAAACCGG